AGUCUAACACCCCGAAACUGAAUGAGCUACUCCAAGACAGCCUUUAUAGGGCACAUCCGUCUCUGUGGCAAAAGAGUGGAAAGAGCUUUGAGUAGAGGUGAUAAACCUACCGAGUUCAGUUAUAGCUGGUUGCCCGAGAACUGAGUAUAAGCUCAGCCUUUUGGCUUCUUAACUCCAUAACUAUUUAUAUUAACCCGACUUUAAGAAACCAAAAGAGUUAAUCAAAGGGGGUACAGCCCCUUUGAUACAAGAAACAACUUUUAACAGGAGGAUAAGGAUCAUAAAAAAUCAAGGCACCGCGCUUAAGUAGGCUUAGAAGCAGCCACCACAAGAAAGCGUUAAAGCUCUAGCACAUCCCUGCCACAAAUACCAAUAAAACACUCCUAACCCCUUCCCCUACCGGGCUUUUCUAUGCUUCCAUAGAAGAAAUUAUGCUAAAAUGAGUAAUAAGGGGCCGACCCCCUCCAAGCACAAGUGUACAUCAGAACGAACCCCCACCGAAAUUCAACGGACCCAACCAAAGAGGGAAGUAAAUAUUAAACUCACAACAAGAAAAACAUUUUACACUUUUCCGUUACCCCUACACUGGUGUGCCAAAUAGGAAAGACUAAAAGAAAAAGAAGGAACUCGGCAAACUCAAA
rnacentral:rRNA from 1 species